UCAAGUAUGCAAUUUAUGAUGUCUUUAUAUGGAGAAAAAUGUGUGCAAUUGUUCUUCAAAACCACUGUUAAACAAAAGCUAAGUUUGGUGAAUAAUUUUAGUUUGAAAUUAUUCACAGAACUGAAACACUUACAUAACAUUGCAAUGUCCUGAUAUAGUUUAAAUCCUUAAUGGAUUACUUUGAAAAUCAAAGCCCAUAACUACUCUUGCACCACUCCCUGGGAAGGGGGGCAAUCCAGUUUUGAACAAUUUGCCUCUUACUUAAGUUUCACCAGGCAUCAAGCCUCCUUUCAUGCUGUCUUACUUAAUGUAUGCUGCUGCAGAACUGCCAUUCGCAUUAGCAAGACUGUAGCUCUUGUUUUGGGCUGAUGAAACGGCUGUCACCAAAAAUAAAACUUCCAUCUAAUCUGCUUCUAUAUUGUGAUCUGUCUGAAUAUCUUUUUUUUUU